AUUUCAUUCUUAAAUUUGUCCUAAUCAUUCUUGGAAUUUUUAUCCUUCUUAAGAUAAUUAUAAACUUUUGUACUACUCAGUUUUCUAAAUAAUAACCUGCUUCUAAGCAUAUGGUAUAGAUUUUUCUUUGUAUGUAUCUUUUAAGCAUGAACUCUUCCAAGAUACUUCAAAUAUUUUGCAUCUAUAUUCAAUUUCCUGUUGCCUUGUUCUCUUCAGGUAUACCACUACAUGCUAUUCCUUUUGUCAUCUGCAUGGAUAGUUUACUAUUGUGCAAUUGGAAAUCUUGUGCCUUUGAACUACAUUUCCCAGGAGCCCUCUGACUUCCUGUUGUUACCUGCUGAUGUAAACAGAAGAUAAAUUGGGGGGAGUUUCAUGUCUAAGCCUCUUUCCUUCUGUACUAGGAGGGGGUCAGGAACUAAAGUUUGAAAGGUCUAAAAGAGAGAGGGGACAGAUAAAAAGAAGCACUACUUCUUCUCUUAGGUAAAGCUACACAAGGGAAGGUGAGAGAUUUGAUCAAGGUCCAGCUGAGAAGUAAAGAGGAAAUCCCCAUUCAGUCUCUGGUUUCUGGUUUCUUCCCUUGAUAGAUAUUAUCCUAAUCCCCUUAGGGACAUUAGGUGACUAAGAUGUUCAGUUUCUUCUGGAUUAAUAAGAUCUAUUUAUUAUUUGUAGUAUUUAGGAAUGGUAGUGUUUAGGGUAGAGCGAAAAUUAGGAAUCCCUAAUUACUAUUUUAACCUAAAUUCCUCUCACGGGUUGAGGGCUCAGGUCUGGGAACCUGAGUCCCUGGUGAGAUUGUGGUGUCAGGCUGUUGGGUUUUCCUGAUAUAAAGUGGAGUACAGCUGUAUAAGAGGGCAAUUGCAAAUCUUCUUGGGUGGGUAGUCUCUUCUCUUCCCCAAAAGGGAAGUCUCUCUUCACUACUGACUGGAUGGCUAAAUCUGAUUUUCUUCAGAUAUAUGUGGGAUCACCACAGUUUGAGUUCAGUAAGAUGAUCCUCUCUUUUCAAGUUCAAAAAAGAGAAGAACCUCCUCUCCAACUGCUGAUCUGCUUUUCUUGGCUAGAGAUUCUAUCCCAUCCCCCAUUGAGAGAAAAAUUCCAUCCUCUUUUUGCACAAUGUUAUUUCAAUAAAUCUGUGAAACACAGUCUGCAAUCCUCUCACCCACACAUCCUGGAUCUGAACAUUGGUGGAGCAGGCUAUUUGAGCAGGGUGCUACAAGGCAAUUUUGGAGAUGGGAAUAUCUUCAAUAUAAAUUUCAAAGGUGUCUUCUUUAAUAGAGUGAAUGGCCAUGACUAG
rnacentral:lncRNA from 1 species